rnacentral:rRNA from 1 species
UACGUAGGAUCCGAGCGUUAUACGGAUUUAUUGGGUUUAAAGGGUGCGCAGGCGGGAGAUUAAGUCGGCGGUGAAAUUUUGCAGCUCAACUGUAAAAGUGCCUUCGAAACUGGUUUCCUUGAGUGUAGAUGAAGUAGGCGGAAUUUGUGGUGUAGCGGUGAAAUGCAUAGAUAUCACGAGGAACUCCGAUUGCGCAGGCAGCUUACUAAACUACUACUGACGCUCAGGCACGAAGGCGUGGGGAUCAAACAGGAUUAGAUACCCCUGUAGU